GUAAGGAAUAUUGGUCAAUGGGCGGAAGCCUGAACCAGCCAUGCCGCGUGCAGGACGACGGCCCUACGGGUUGUAAACUGCUUUUGCCCGGGAAUAACCCCCCGCUCUUGAGCGGGGCUGAACGUACCGGGAGAAUAAGGAUCGGCUAACUCCGUGCCAGCAGCCGCGGUAAUACGGAGGAUCCGAGCGUUAUCCGGAUUUAUUGGGUUUAAAGGGUGCGUAGGCGGCCUGUUAAGUCAGGGGUGAAAUACGGCAGCUCAACUGUCGCAGUGCCCUUGAUACUGACGGGCUUGAAUACCGGUGAAGGCGGCGGAAUGAGACAAGUAGCGGUGAAAUGCAUAGAUAUGUCUCAGAACCCCGAUAGCGAAGGCAGCUGUCUAAACGUUUAUUGACGCUGAUGCACGAAAGCGUGGGGAUCGAACAGGAUUAGAAACCCGUGUAGUCC
rnacentral:rRNA from 1 species